UUUUCUAUGUACUCUAAUGCCGUUACGAAACUGAUAUACGAUAUUGUAUUUUUGAAAAAAAAAAACAUGAAAUUUUCUUCUUGACAAAACUGUCAUAGGAAUGUUGAUCAACGAUGGGGGAGUUUCUUCGAAGUCUCCAGACUUCACCUGACCUCGGGUCUCUCCAUAUAAAUAUGCCGAUGGAAGAGGGAAAGAUAUAGAGAUGGAGGGUAGCUUGGACACAACUUUUCGGCCGCCCCGCAGUUAUUAUUACGUAAUCUCGACGGGCCAUUUCCAUGCGGUGUUUUCUGCUUGCGUUUGUGCUGUGUGCGUGUGUGUGGGGAAGGAAGAGGGAGAGUUGCGUCGAGGGAGCAAUCCCCCCGCGACCCCCCUAAACGCUGCGCUGGGGCCACUAGAUUGAAUUUUCUUAUUUUAUUUUUACACCCUUAUACCUCUUUUCCAGCGGACGCCCGGCGCCUCCACGAAAAGCACGAGCGGAAAGGGAGAACGUAAAGAAACAAACGAAUACGAAGGGAAGAGAAAAAUAUCUCGUCCUACCGCCCAAACCUCCCCGCUUUUUUUGAAGCAAUCUAAUUCGGCCGUGUCUCGAAUUUGAGUCUACGGAAUGGACUACGCACGCUUUUUUUUCCGACUGCGAUACACUUCCUGUUUUUGGAAACGAUGUCCAACGAAAGGAAGCUUUGGACGUUGUCCACAACGGAAAUUGCGAGUAAGGUUGAAACUGGAAGAGGAGAUGGAGUAGGAUGAGGAGGACGUUUCCGGGAGAGGGCAUUUCCUGUUUCGGCAAUCCGGAGGGCGCGCGCGGUCCCGACACUAAAACACAGUCAUAAAAACACACAAACCAAUUUAGUCGCUCUUCCUGCAGGAAACCACCCCUCGAACGCACGCACUCACACACAUACACACCAACCCAUACGCACGAAGAGAUAACAUAAUGAAUCAGAUAUUGUUUUUGCAGCAAGUACUUGGGUAGUUGGUAUCGAACCUACUCAAUCCAGCAUGUAAAAGUACCAACAAAGUCAGGAACAAAAAAGGAUAUUUUGUUGGCAUAGGGCCUACUCAAUUCAACCCCCGUAAUGACUAACGAAAAAUGAUCUGAAGCAUAUUAGAUAGGUGCAGUAUUUUCAAUACAAUAUCUGUAUUUUUGGAUAUACAUCCUGGAA